rnacentral:rRNA from 2 species
ACGGGAGGCAGCAGUGGGGAAUAUUGGGCAAUGGGCGAAAGCCUGACCCAGCAACGCCGCGUGAAGGAAGAAGGCCUUCGGGUUGUAAACUUCUUUUAAGAGGGACGAAGGAUUGACGGUACCUCUUGAAUAAGCUACGGCUAACUACGUGCCAGCAGCCGCGGUAAUACGUAGGUGGCAAGCGUUAUCCGGAUUUACUGGGUGUAAAGGGCGCGUAGGCGGGAAAGCAAGUCAGAUGUGAAAUACUUCGGCUUAACCGGAGAGCUGCAUUUGAAACUGUUUUUCUUGAGUACUGGAGAGGUAGGCGGAAUUCCCGGUGUAGCGGUGAAAUGCAUAGAUAUCGGGAGGAACAUCAGUGGCGAAGGCGGCCUACUGGACAGCAACUGACGCUGAGGCGCGAAAGCGUGGGGAGCAAACAGGAUUAGAUACCCUGGUA